GUCAAGAUAGCUGUAACGUUGUACCAUACGAUCUAACGUACACCUGUGCCUGCACCCUGUCAUCAAUACUUCUGCAGUUCUCGAAAGUAUCUCCCAGAUCUUUUUAUAACUUAGAAAUCUGCAUGUGACCCUCCCUUUGGACGAAUCAUAGCCUUCUAAUCUUGGUAAAUAAUGGGCCCGCCCUCUACCCCUCUCCACUAAAAUUCCGGGCUUCACU
rnacentral:misc_RNA from 1 species